GCCAGGGAAGUUGAUUGUGUGAAGGG
rnacentral:miRNA from 1 species